rnacentral:ncRNA from 1 species
UUGAAUCAACAGACUUUGCUUGGCAAUGUAACGAAAUAAUAUUUAAAAUGAACUCCCGAAGAGACGUUUCGCGGACUAAAGAAAUGGUAGCUCUACAGAUAGUGGUGAGCGCAGGAUACCUGUUUACCAGUGUUAAUCAACAGUUACGCCCAUCCUCUGUCACCUGUCACCUCUAUAACUUUGGGCUGUCACAUAUCUUUCAAGUGUCUAUCUUAUCAACUCUCGAUGGUAGAUUAUGAGCCUACCAUGGUCGUAAUGGGGGACGGGGAAUCAGAGUUCGAUUCCGGAUAGAGCUACCACAUUCAAGAAAGGCAGCAGUCGCGCAAAUUACCCACUCCCAGAAUGCGGAGGUAGUGAUGAAAAAUAACAAUACGGGACUCUUUUGAGAUCUCGUAAAUGAAAUGAGUACACUCUAAAUCUUUAACAAGGAUCAGUUGUAGGAAAGUCUGGUUCUAGCAGCUGUGGUAAUUCCAGCUCACA